rnacentral:lncRNA from 8 species
AUGGAAUCAGGUAAUUCAGAAUUAGAUUACAUUAUCAUACACAUUCACUCACACCAGAUGUACACACACAAACAUGUUGAGCUGUAUACUUACUGCCACUUUGUGCAUCCCUCUUUCAGAUCUACCAUGCACUCCACCACUGCCCAACAGCCUCUCCCAGACGUGCAUACACUGGGCCUAUCAAGACUGACAAAGCAGAGAUGGUAUAUACAAGGUUCCCAGGAGUGGCAGGCAGAUAGUUUAUUGUCCUGCAAAAGUGUUUUUAAUGUACUAAGGCCCCUGGCUACCCAUCACAUUGCUCUGGCCAAACUGAUGUUUGUUCUCCACAAUGAAUGUAUGUAGCGAUUUAAAAUCAGGGAGAGUCAUCAGGCAACCAAGGCCAAGGAAUAGAGAGAGAGAUGACCUGGAGGGGCAGAGUCAUCAGGCAACCAAGGCCAAGGAAUGGAGAGAGAGAUGACCUGGAGGGAGUUCCAGACCUCAGCUUUUUAUGAAGCAGAAAAGCAGAGAUGGGUGGCUGACAAGGAAAAAAUAAAACACAACCUGCACACACUCUCUCUCCUCUCUCUCUCUCUCACACACACACAGUCUGUAAAUAUAUAAAUACAUUGUAAGAUAUCUAGGCCUCUAACUCUCAAGUGCAGUAAAAAAGGUUUAUCAUAAAAAUUAUCAUUAAUAAUGGACACAAUUAUAUAAUUAAUACAUAUUACAAUAAUAAUACAUAAGAGUGACCAAUAGUUACUGUAUUGUGAUUGUUUAACUGUUUUAAUUAGUCAACAAGUAGUGCCCCAAGGGGGGAUCAAACCAUGUCCCAAAAGCAGCAGAAAAGGUCAAAUAAGGUCACAAGGUCAAAAAACUGUUUGUUAUGGUUAUACAAGUCUGGCAAUAGCGUGGUGCCUGGUCGUCACUAGUUACCACAAACACAAAGUCAUAUAAUCCCACCUAUUUAUUCAAUCUAUCUUCUCAAAAUGUGAUUUUAAACCUAACUCUAACCUUAACCACACUACUAACUUUAUGCCUAACCCUAACCUUAAAUUAAGACCAAAAAGCAAAUUUUUUCCCCAUACAUUUUUAGGGUACAGUUUUGACUUUGUGGCUGUGGUAAGUAGUGAAAACCGUUGCACCUGUUGUUCACAUGCAUAUCCCUUCUCUCACUGCC